rnacentral:lncRNA from 1 species
CUCCACCAGACAUUGCUGGCCCUUCCCCCCCCGCGAGCCUCCGGCCCCCUGCGUGUACACACACACCUGCAGGCCCGGCAGAAGUGAUGCUCAACGGGGCCUCCACACAUCCCCAUAGCGCGCUUGGGCGCACCAGGGUGGAGGAAAUAUUGGGGCGACGCGGCUCGGAGUUCACCCUAAAAUGGGCGCCUGGGCAGCCCCUAGAAAGAAACUCAAGCAGGGCGCCGCUCACCCGCCACCCUCUGCAGCUCCCACCGCAGCCAAGAUAAAAACGUUAGCGGGUGAGAGCGGGAGGAGCAGGAAGAAAGUAUAUUUUUUUCUAAAAAAGGAAGGAAACACCUGCCCCCUUCUCCAUAGGGAGGAGGGAAGCGCCCCUACUUCGGGAAGUCGCCUUUUCCCGCUGACAAGCUGCCCCCGCCGGUUCGCAGCUCCGGGCUCUGAGCUCCAGAUCGCAGCCCCUAUCCCGGAGCGAAGCUAAGGCAACUGCGUCUCCUCUCACCGACAAGACUCCGGCUCAGACGGGUGGGCGGCGAGUAGGGCUCCAGUCACAGACUGGCGCUAGCAAAAUGGAGGAGGAGAGGCAGUGAUGUGUGGUAGAGGAGGAAGAGGAGGAGGAGGGCCAGCGAUGUCUGGUGGAGGAGGAGGAGGGCAAGCAAAGUCUGGUAAAGGAGGAGGAGGAGGGCCAGCGAUGUCUGGUAGAGGAGGAGGACGAGGGCCAGCAAUGUCUGGUAAAGGAGAAGGAGGAGGAGGAGGAGGAGGGCGGCCAGCGAUGUCUGGAGGAGGAGGAGGAGGAGGAGGAGGGCCAGCAAUGUCUGGAAGAGGAGGAGGAGGAGGAGGGUCAGUGAUGUCUUGAGGAGGAGGAGGAGGAGGAGGAGGAGGGCCAGCAAUGUCUGGAAGAGGAGGAGGAGGAGGAGGGCCCUCAAUGGCUGGUAGGGGAGGAAGAGGAGGAGGAGGGCCAGUGAUGUCUGGUAGAGAAGGAGGAGGAGGAGGAGAGGCAGCGAUGUCUGGUAGACGAAGAAGAGGAGAAGGGCCAGCAAUGUCUGGUGGAGGAGGAGGAGGAGGAAGGCCAGCAAUGUCUGGUGGAGGAGGAGGAGGAGGAAGGCCAGCAAUGUCUGGUAGAGGAGGAAGAGGAUGAGGAGGAUGAGUUGGACGAGGGCCAGUGAUGCCUGGUAGUGGAGGAGGAGGAGGAAGUCCAGCAAUGUCUGGUAAAGGAGAAGGAGGAGGGCCAGCAAUGUCUGGAAGAGGAGGAGGAGGAGGAGGAGGAGGAGGGCCAGCUAUGUCUGGUUCAGGAGGAGGAGGAGGAGGGCCAGUGAUGUCUGGUAGAGGAGGAGGAGGAGGAGGAGGAGGACGGCCAGCGAUGUCUGGUAGAGGAGGAGGAGGAGGAGGAGGAGGAGGGGCAGUGAUGUGUGGUAGAGGAGGAAGAGGAGGAGGAGGGCCAGCGAUGUCUGGUGGAGGAGGAGGAGGGCAAGCAAAGUCUGGUAAAGGAGAAGGAGGAGGGCCAGCGAUGUCUGGUAGAGGAGGAGGAGGAGGAGGAGGAAGUCCAGCAAUAUCUGGUAAAGGAGAAGGAGGAGGGCCAGCAAUGUCUGGUGGAGGAGGAGGAGGAGGAGGGCCAGUGAUGUCUGGUGGAGGAGGAGGAGGAGGAGGGCCAGUGAUGUCUGGUAGAGGAGGAGGAGGUGGAGGAAAAGGGCCAGCGAUGUCUGGUAGAGGAGCAGAAGGAGGAGGAGGAGGAGGGCCAUCAAUAUCUGGUAGAGGAGGAGGAGGAGGGCCAGCAAUGUGUGGAGGAGGAGGAGGAAGGCCAGUG